UACGGAGGGCGCAAGCGUUAUCCGGAUUCACUGGGUUUAAAGGGUGCGUAGGUGGGGUGAUAAGUCAGUGGUGAAAUCCCCGAGCUUAACUUGGGAACUGCCAUUGAUACUAUUGAUCUUGAAUACCGUGGAGGUCAGCGGAAUAUGUCAUGUAGCGGUGAAAUGCUUAGAUAUGACAUAGAACACCAAUUGCGAAGGCAGCUGGCUACGCGAAUAUUGACACUGAUGCACGAAAGCGUGGGGAUCAAACAGG
rnacentral:rRNA from 1 species